GAUGAACGCUAGCGGCAGGCCUAAUACAUGUAAGUCGAACGGCAAGUUGAGUAGCAAUACUUGACCUAGAGUGACGUACGGGUGCGUAACACGUAUGCAACCUACCCAAAACAGGAGUAUAGCUCGGGGAAACUCGAAUUAACCCUCCAUAAGAUAGUAGUAGAGCAUUCUAUAGCUAUUAAAACUCAGGUGGUUUUGGA
rnacentral:rRNA from 1 species